UGAGCACGGCAGCACCCAAGUCCUCCCAUAGAAAUAGUUCGGUUUUUGGGUGUUCUAACAACAACACCAAAGUCGCUUCACUUUACCAAGGGAUCAACAAGUGAGGACUUUGUGGGUCACUUUUAUUUUUAACGGACCGGUGCCAGAAACACUGCCUCAGCAUUUAUACGUAUGUGCUUUUCAAACGAGGGUGCGUACAAUGCUGGAUUUUUUUACGGCUCCUGUUGGAAAAAAAGGCUCUAUUCCUACAGUCCGUCAUCCACUCACUGAAGAGGGCAAAUCCCAGUUGCCCACAUGCAAGGAGGCUGUCAAACAGAGAAAUCACUGCAGACUGUUGGUACAGAGACAUCUGCUGCCCAGCUCAGGAGUGAAGUACCUUUUGUUUUGAUGAGGUGACAGCCACAGCUUCCAUCUGGUAGAGGACUGCUUCCGCUCAGUCUUCCAAAUAGUGAUGAGAACAAGGAUCACCACAUCUCCCUGGUCAUCUGUCUACAACUAUACCUGUACUGCUGCAGAAACAGGUUUAUUAAGAAUGAUCAAAAAACAUAAUUAAAAGCAGUAAAAAUACAUCAGGUCAUUAUAUAAUUUGAACCAAUGCUUUUUGUUCCCAGGUAGGUCAUGCAGUGAUUGCUCUAAAUAUUAAUGCACAUUUUUUAAAUAAAAUUAUGUCAGAGCAGCAGCACAAGUAAGACAAAAACAGUGAAAUGUGUAAAUGUAAAAUGUAUUUAUAUUAUUUCAGCUAUGCUCUCAAACUUUUAUUUAUUUGUAUAAUAUAAGAUAAAGUAGUGUUUUCUAUUAGCGAGAGUUUUCCAGGUAAGUCGUGUUGUGAAUAUUCAAGCUGCACAGGCCAUUAAGCAUACGCAUUAGUAACCGCUAGUCGCUUUGUAAAUUACAUAAAUCAAUUAAACUGAAGUAAAUGUGACAUUACCAAUGAGACACAUCUUGCAUCAGCUGAAAUGUGGCGACAAA